AAUGGCCUAAUUCUGAUCCUAUCACUUACUGCAUGACCUUAUAACACUGUGUUUAUCUCAGUAGGCUAGACAAGCAUGUUAUGAUGGCAGCGCAUGGACAACCUCCUUCAAGUUGAGAAAGGCAAAGCUAAUACUUUCAAGAGAGAGCUAGAUAGGGCUCCUAAAGAUAGCAAAGUCAGGGGAUAUGGGGAGAAGGCAGGAACGGGGUACUGAUUGGGGA